rnacentral:misc_RNA from 1 species
GAUGAAGAACGCAGCGAAAUGCGAUAAGUAAUGUGAAUUGCAGAAUUCAGUGAAUCAUCGAAUCUUUGAACGCACAUUGCGCCCGCCAGUAUUCUGGCGGGCAUGCCUGUCUGAGCGUCAUUUCAACCCUCAUGCCCCUAGGGCGUGGUGUUGGGGAUCGGCCAAAGCCCGCGAGGGACGGCCGGCCCCUAAAUCUAGUGGCGGACCCGUCGUGGCCUCCUCUGCGAAGUAGUGAUAUUCCGCAUCGGAGAGCGAUGAGCCCGUGCCGUUAAACCCCCAACUUUCCAAGGUUGACCUCAGAUCAGGUAGGAAUACCCGCUGAACUUAAGCAUAUCAAUAAGCGGAGGA